GACGAACGCUGGCGGCGUGCUUAACACAUGCAAGUCGAACGAAGUGGCGAACGGGUGAGUAAUACGUGGGUAACCUGCCCUCCUUUUUGGGAUAAGCCUUGGAAACGGGGUCUAAUACCGAAUAAAGGGGGAUGGGCUCGCGGACUAUCAGCUUGUUGGUGGGGUGAUGGUGUACCAAGGCGGUGACGGGUAGCCGGCCUGAGAGGGGGACCGGUCAAAGUGGGACUGGGAUACGGGCCAGACUACAACGGGAGGCAGCAGUGGGGUGUAUGGAGUAAUGGGCGAAAGGCUAGUGCAGCAACGCGGCGUGGGGGAUGAAGGCUUUCGGAUUGUAAACCUCUGUCGCUAUCGAGCGGGUAGGUGGAGAAGAAGCGCCGGCUAACUACGUGCCAGCAGCCGCGGUAAUUC
rnacentral:rRNA from 1 species